rnacentral:rRNA from 1 species
GCAUAUCAAUAAGCGGAGGAAAAGAAACUAACAAGGAUUCCCCUAGUAACUGCGAGUGAACCGGGAAAAGCUCAAAUUUAAAAUCUGGCAGCCUUGGCUGUCCGAGUUGUAAUCUGGAGAAGCGUCUUCCGCGCUGGACCGUGUACAAGUCUCCUGGAACGGAGCGUCAUAGAGGGUGAGAAUCCCGUCUUUGACACGGACUACCAGUGCUCUGUGAUGCGCUCUCAAAGAGUCGAGUUGUUUGGGAAUGCAGCUCAAAAUGGGUGGUAAACUCCAUCUAAAGCUAAAUAUUGGCGAGAGACCGAUAGCGAACAAG